rnacentral:rRNA from 1 species
UACAGAGGUCUCGAGCGUUAGGCGGAAUCACUGGGCUUAAAGCGUGUGUAGGCGGAUCGUUAAGUGUCUUGUGAAAUCCCACGGCUCACCCGUGGAACUGCUGGGCAUACUGGCGAUCUUGGGCCAACUAGGGGCAGCCGGAACAAGCGGUGGAGCGGUGAAAUGCGUAGAUAUCGCUUGGAACGCCAAAGGUGAAAACAGGCUGCUGGGGUUGUGCCGACGCUGAGACACGAAAGCCAGGGGAGCAAACGGG